ensembl:snRNA U1 U1 spliceosomal RNA
AUAUUACCUGGCAGGGGAGAUACCAUGAAUAGGAAGGUGGUUUUCCCAGGAUAAGGUUUCCCAUUGCACUGUGGGUGUGCUGAUUAUUGUGAUUUCUCCCAAUAUGGAAAACGACUAAAUCAUUUAUGAUAGUGAGAGACUCUGUUCAUGCUCUCCCU